GUUUGUUGGUGCGGCAAACACGCUGGUAGACAAGGUGGAGGUGGUCAGGUAACUGCGCAGCCUUCCUCUACAUUCAUAUCAAGUUCGGCUCUAUCUUUCCUUGGUACGCACAUCAUGGCUUCCAACGCGGUUUUUGCUAUUGUGUGUUUAAUUGGUGGACAGUAUCUACUCUUGACUGAGGGAGCAUCCUCUGAGCUGGCCGCUAGAAAGAACAGUAUAUCUGCUUCAAUUACUAAAGACGAGUUUGAGAAGCUGGACACGACCUUGAUGGACGUGGUCAGUACGACUCACAUCUUU